AUUGAACGCUGGCGGCAUGCCUUACACAUGCAAGUCGAACGGCAGCGCGGGGCAACCUGGCGGCGAGUGGCGAACGGGUGAGUAAUAUAUCGGAACGUGCCCUGGAGUGGGGGAUGACGUAGCAAAAGUUACGCUAAUACCGCAUACGAUCUGAGGAUGAAAGCAGGGGACCUUCGGGCCUUGUGCUCCUGGAGCGGCCGAUAUCUGAUUAGCUAGUUGGUGGGGUAAAAGCCUACCAAGGCGACGAUCAGUAGCUGGUCUGAGAGGACGACCAGCCACACUGGAACUGAGACACGGUCCAGACUCCUACGGGAGGCAGCAGUGGGGAAUUUUGGACAAUGGGGGCAACCCUGAUCCAGCAAUGCCGCGUGUGUGAAGAAGGCCUUCGGGUUGUAAAGCACUUUGUCAGGAACGAAACGGUCUGGGCUAAUAUCCUGGGCUAAUGACGGUACCUGAAGAAUAAGACACCGGACUAACCUACGUGCCAGCAG
rnacentral:rRNA from 1 species